rnacentral:misc_RNA from 1 species
GAUGAAGAACGUAGUGAAAUGCGAUAAGUAAUGUGAAUUGCAGAAUUCAGUGAAUCAUCGAAUCUUUGAACGCACCUUGCGCUCCUUGGUAUUCCGAGGAGCAUGCCUGUUUGAGUGUCAUUAAAUUCUCAACCUUUAUCUUUUAUUGAUAAAUGGCUUGGACUUGGGGGUUUGCUGGCGAAAGUCAGCUCCUCUGAAAUGUAUUAGCUGGUUGCCUUGUGUGAACUUGUCUAUUGGUGUGAUAAUUAUCUACGCCGUGGGCUGUUUGCCGUUUUAGCACUGCUUCUAACUGUCUGUUAACUCGGACAAUAUAUGACAAUUUGACCUCAAAUCAGGUAGGACUACCCGCUGAACUUAAGCAUAUCAAUAAGCGGAGGA